CCUACGGGUGGCAGCAGUGGGGCAUAUUGCACAAUGGGGGAAACCCUGCUGCAGCGACGCCGCGUGAGAGAUGAAGUAUUUCGGUAUGUAAAGCUCUAUCAGCAGGGAAGAUAAUGACGGUACCUGCCUAAGAAGCUCCGACUAAAUACGUGCCAUCAGCCGCGGUACUACGGAUGGAGCAAGCGUUAUCCGGAUUUACUGGGUGUAAAGGGAGCGCAGACGGCAGGGCAAGUCUGAUGUGAAAGUCCGGGGCUCAACCCCGGGACUGCAUUGGAAACUGUCCGGCUAGAGUGCAGGAGAGGUAAGUGGAAUUCCUAGUGUAGCGGUGAAAUGCAUAGAUAUCACGAGGAACCCCGAUUGCGAAGGCAGCCUGCCGGGGUGCGACUGACGCUGAGGCUCGAAGGUGCGGGUAUCAAACAGGAUUAGAUACCCUGGUAGUC
rnacentral:rRNA from 1 species